rnacentral:rRNA from 1 species
GAUGAACGCUGGCGGCGUGCUUAACACAUGCAAGUCGAACGGAAAGGCCCUGCUUUCGUGGGGUGCUCGAGUGGCGAACGGGUGAGUAACACGUGAGUAACCUGCCCCUGACUUUGGGAUAACUUCAGGAAACUGGGGCUAAUACCGGAUAGGAGCUCCUGCUGCAUGGUGGGGGUUGGAAAGUUUCGGCGGUUGGGGAUGGACUUGCGGCUUUUCAGCUGGUUGGUGGGGUAGUGGCUUACCAAGGCUUUGACGGGUAGCUGGCCUGAGAGGGUGACCGGCCACAUUGGGACUGAGAUACGGCCCAGACUCCUACGGGAGGCAGCAGUGGGGAAUAUUGCACAAUGGGCGGAAGCCUGAUGCAGCAACGCCGCGUGCGGGAUGACGGCCUUCGGUUUGUAAACCGCUUUCGCCUGUGACGAAGCGUGAGUGACGGUAAUGGGUAAAGAAGCACCGGCUAACUACGUG